GCGUUGGUUGUAGCUGGCUUCUAGGAGCAUG
rnacentral:rRNA from 1 species